GGGUUUUCAUUCAGACACUAACAAGUUUUUUGCUAAUUUGUAAAGAGGAUAGACAUAAAUACUUGAGUACUGAGAAGUAAGACCACUUUUAUUGCGAAUAUUGUUUGGUUUUCACACCAAACAAUAUUUGCUUAGUUUAUUAGUGGCUUGAUUAUAUACAGUUGGCUGGAAAAAAAGAAUGCAGCAAUGCUUUCAUUUUCUGUUUUUGUUACUCGUGUCUCGUGGCCUAAUUUGGCAGCAGACAAAUGCGAAGGUGCUCUGUGGCUUUUAUUGUUUAGAAUUGGCUCAUAUUAAGAUGUGUAUCAGAAAAUAAUAACGGAAUUCCUACAGUCAAAAAACUUUAAUUAGGCCGUUUUGAUUUCCAACCAUGCGUAGUUGUUUCAGUGACUAGAAAUUGUGGUUGGCAGAAUUUUACCGUAACGCAUACGAUAGCAAUGUUUUAGGGUUUUCGGAUUGAACUUAAAUGUGCAAUUAAACAACGUGUUCAUUUAACUGAUGUAAUGUUAAUAUACCAACCUACUGAAGGUUUUACAUUUGUUUUGUACAUGCGCUGAUAACCAUCUGGUGGUGAACCAAAGCUCAACACAAGCAGCUUUUUCACAAGCUGAGAAGACACAUAUAUAUGUAUGGCUACUUUUUGGUUACCCACAUUCUUUGAAGUGUAAGGAAAAGUGAUUACAAAUAUCAAUGUAACGGAUGUAGAGAGGACUGGAGAAAGAGCGAGAGAGAAAUAUGGGUUAAUGUUUCCUUUGCCACUCCCUCUUCAGGCCGAGCUCUGAACAAACAGUCAAGAUACGAUCAGAUUCAAGUCUACGAGUCUUACGGCCCUCGCUGUAUAUUCACAUUUAUUUGGCAAACGACAUAAUCGUGGUCCUGCGGCAUUUCUGACCGAGUCAUUUAGCAAGUCAAUCUGUUUGUCUGAUGGUAGCUGUGUCUGACCAGAUCAGUGACCUGUACACAGCUGCGGGCAGGUUAUAUGCUGCAGCAUUUUUAGUACGUGGUAUGUGGAGGGGAAGUUAAAGUUAGCACCUGUCGAAAAACAGCCACCCGCCCUCCCCUCGGACGACUCCACAAUCACUGCCACCGAACGCAGAAGACUUUACAACACUCGUCCAGCCUCGAACUCCUCCUGUCUGAGAUAAAGUGCGAAGGUAAAGACACCGAGCUCAGCAGGGCGUUUCUGUCUGUCCCGCUCACAGUAUGCUCUUCUCGCGGAUUUGGAGUCCACAACCUCCCACAUUUCCAAACAAGCUGUUUUUCUGCCAGAAGAGACGCCAUAUUCCUACCCCACAGGAAGUGACGUAUAUCAGGACCUGUCCUCCCCGCCUCGAGUGACCUCUCCUCCUGCUCAAACACUGAAUGGAUCUUGGGUAGAAAAGCCAGAAUCAAAGCACUCAUCAACCCAGUCUUUUAGCUCAGCGCCGAAAAGUGCCAGUCCACGUGUGUCACAGUCUGAAGAAGAACACGUCUAUAGUUUCCCUAUCAAGCAGAAGACUACUGACUCCCCUGUCGCCGUCAUGAGUUCAUCACUUGGCAGUAACCUGUCAGAGCUGGACCGUCUGCUGCUGGAGCUCAACGCCGUACAGCACAGCACACCUGCCUUCCCUACUGAAGAGACCUACCCUCCCAAACCAGCCAGCAAUGCCCAGCGAUAUGUUCCAGAAAACGGCGUCUCUUCAGCAGUGAAAGCACCUCCCAUAGAGAAACCCAAACGCAAUGUACCCGGACGGGCAAUAGAAGAUGUCAGACCUAGUGUGGAGAGCCUGCUUAAUGAGUUGGAGAGCUCUGUGCCGGCCCCUGCACCCGCCCCAGCAGUGCCAGUGGUUCCUGAGUUGAGAGAAGUUCAGGAGGAGACCCCUGCCCAGCAGCAGGCCAGGAUCUCUGCCUCCUCAGCGACACGAGAACUUGACGAACUCAUGGCCUCACUGUCUGACUUCAAAGUUCAGAGCAAUUCUGUCUCUCUGUCAGUUAAGGAGGACUCAUUAUCCACUAAAGGGUCAGAACUUCCCAUUCUUGUGGUGAAUGAUAACCUCACAGUCCCUUCAGUACCAGAAGGAGAGGUAUCUGAUCGCAGCUUUCAUUGCCAGCCAUCCUCAAAUUGUGCACCACAUUUACUGGAACUCCACAUUGUUGAGGAAUCGACAGCUGUUGCUCCAGUGUCCGACUCCACGGUGCUUUGUACCUCCUCCAAGAUCCAUUCAGAGAAAUUCUUGGUAGUUUCAAGCGCAAAGAGUCCAGCCCCCAAGUCUUGUUUUUCAACUGAGCCAUCUGCAAAAACCUCUAUCCCUCUGGCAUUAAGUUUACACAAACAUGAAGUCAGUUCACCAAAAGCCGUUGAUCUGAAAAUCUCAAGUCCUAUUUCGAUCACCAAAAAUAGUCCACUUGUGGUACCAAAGGCCUCCUCGCCACUUAUAACUCCAAGGAUAUCUAAAAGUCCCAGUCCACCACAGGUUAUCAAGAGCUCAAAUCGAAUUGUCGAUGUGAAAUGUCCUAGUCCUGUAACAACUUCUAAAAUCUCUAGUCCAGUUGUAGUAAGAAAAAGCCCAAGCCCCGUUACAGCUGUUAGAGUGACCAAAAGUCCAAUCCCUGGAGUCGUUGCCAAGAGCCCAAGUCCCGAGGCAGGGAUUACUAGCAAGAGCCCGGUGCCAACUACCAUUACACUGCCCGCUCCUCCAGUUUCAACCCUAACAUUAACUCAGAAGCCUUCCAAGGAGAAACCUGAGAGCUUUGAACCAGGCAUAUUGGGAAUAAGUCUUCCUUGCCCCGAGCCUCUUCUUGAGGAAGCUCUGGACAAGCUGUUGACGUCCAGUCUUUCUCAACCAGAGCCGGUGAAACUGGGUGAAGGAACUCCUGCCUCAUUAGAAGUGAACAAUGAUGUUCUGGCAAAUCUUCAUCAAUCGACACCACCGGGUGGCUUUAAAGAUGUCACAUGGAUGGACGACCCUUUAAACCCCACAUCAUUCCCUGGGGCAUCCAAUGUUUCGCUGGACCUUCCACUUAUCCAGCCAUCAGCAGUUGAAAGGCUCUCUGCUUCUGGACAACUUAAAUCGGUCAUCAGACGCACCAAGGAAACAUCCAACGUCCACCCGAUGUUUCGUGAUGGCCACUUGCGCAAAAAAAUGGGCCCACUAAUACUCAACAAGAGCAACUCACAGGAUCUACUCAUUGAAGAGCUGCAAGGGAAACUGGGAAUCGGUCGCGCUGAGCGGCCAAGAAAACAGCAAGAUGAUUGGCUUACGGAAGGGGUCAUUGUCUGUUCCAACCCACAGCGUUUAAGAGAGGAAGGUGGCGUAUCACCAACGGUUGAUAAGAUCAUCAUUUCUCCAGACUCACCCAGUCCUCCGAAAAAAGUCCUAACCCAUCCUGUCCCAAAAAAGCCAGAUCCUGUGAUACAGAUGCCUGCUCCUCUCCCCCCACCACCUCCACCCCUAGAGAGCCCUCUCCUCCUCCACCUCCUCCUCCACCCGCUCCUCCAGUUCCACCACCACCUAAAGACCCCACCCCUCCUCCAUCCCCUCCUCCCAAACCUGUGACCCCGCCCCCUCCACCAAAGGUUUUAGCGUCUGUUGGCUGCCAAACGGAAUAUGAACCUCUUUUUCCACCGAUUAUGGCUCAGGGCAAGAGUUCCCCCACCAGCGUUCCAAAGCAGGGGAAUAAACUGGAUAACAUGUUGGGCAGCCUGCAGUCAGACCUCAAUCGGCUGGGGGUCCAGACUGUGGCCAAAGGCGUUUGUGGAGCCUGC